GGGGGCUUUGUGGGUUUCC
rnacentral:rRNA from 1 species